rnacentral:rRNA from 1 species
AAUAGAUACCCUGGUAGUCCAUGCCGUAAACGUUGGGAACUAGAUGUGGGGACCAUCCCACGGUCUCCGUGUCGCAGCUAACGCAUUAAGUUCCCCGCCUGGGGAGUACGGCCGCAAGGCUAAAACUCAAAGGAAUCGACGGGGGCCCGCACAAGCGGCGGAGCAUGCGGAUUAAUUCGAUGCAACGCGAAGAACCUUACCAAGGCUUGACAUAUACGAGAACGCUGCAGAAAUGUAGAACUCUUUGGACACCCGUAUACAGGUGGUGCAUGGUUGUCGUCAGCUCGUGUCGUGAGAUGUUGGGUUAAGUCCCGCAACGAGCGCAACCCUCGUCGUAUGUUGCCAGCACGUAAUGGUGGGAACUCAUAUGAGACUGCCGGGGUCAACUCGGAGGAAGUGGGGAUGAGGUCAAAUCACCAUGCCCCUUAUGUCUUGGGCUUCACGCAUGCUACAAUGGCCGGUACAAAGGGCUGCGAUACCGCAAGGUGAGCGAAUCCCAAAAGCCGGUCUCAGUUCGGA